rnacentral:rRNA from 1 species
UGGGGAAUAUUGGACAAUGGGGGAAACCCUGAUCCAGCAAUGCCGCGUGUGCGAUGAAGGCCUGCGGGUUGUAAAGCACUUUCGGUGGCAAAGAAAGUCUCAAAUAUAAUACAUUUGGGAUCUGACAUUAGCCACAGAAGAAGCACCGGCAAACUCUGUGCCAGCAGCCGCGGUAAUACAGAGGGUGCAAGCGUUAAUCGGAGUUACUGGGCGUAAAGGGCGCGUAGGCUGGUAUUUAAGUCGAUUGUGAAAUCCCUGGGCUCAACCGAGGAAUUGCAGUCGAUACUGAAGAUCUUGAGUAUGGUAGAGGAAAGUGGAAUUCUCGGUGUAGUGGUUAAAUACGUAGAUAUCGAGAAGAACAUCGGUGGCGAAGGCGGCUUUCUGGCCCAAUACUGACGCUGAGGCGCGAAAGCGUGGGGAGCAAACA